UACGUAGGGUGCGAGCGUUAAUCGGAAUUACUGGGCGUAAAGCGUGCGCAGGCGGUUCGUUAUGUCCGAUGUGAAAGCCCCGAGCUUAACUUGGGAAUGGCAUUGGAAACUGGCGGGCUGGAGUGCGGCAGAGGGGGAUGGAAUUCCGCGUGUAGCAGUGAAAUGCGUAGAUAUGCGGAGGAACACCGAUGGCGAAGGCAAUCCCCUGGGCCUGCACUGACGCUCAUGCACGAAAGCGUGGGGAGCAAACAGG
rnacentral:rRNA from 1 species